AUUCUCUUAAUUGUAGAUAGAGGCCUUUAAUCUCACAAAUUGCAACAGAAGCCCCCGUCCCCAAACUACCACGGCCGACCGAAGCAGGUUGCUCCAAUUCUGCCCUUUUUGGCCCUUUAUUUUUUUUUUCUUUUUAUCCUCGUCUAAUAGGAAGAAACCAAAUUCAUCAGAUGCAAUAUUUCUCCAAUUCUCAUCUAAGUAGAUCAUAUGCCCACUAUCCAGAUAUGGUCUAUAGACCUCACAAAUUGAGAACAGAGGUGAACCACCAAAAGCUUAGCCCAAAAACUCUAAAUCCAUCCCACAUGCAGUUAUGCGGAAGAAGAUCGCACAAAGACCAAGUCUUCAUCACAAGAGAAGGAAACGGGUAUGUUGCAAUUGGGAUUUUGGAAUUCUUUAUAAAAUCACGAAAAAACAAUUACAAAAUCACAAUAAAGCAAUAGCACAGCUACAUGCCAUUUCGCUUUUGUGGAUCAUGAAAAUCCCAAAUUUUGUCACCCUCCACAUACAAUAUUCAUUGUGCAGUUUGUAUAUGUAUAUAAUAUAUGCACAGAAAACGUGGAAACAGUAAUGCAAAACUUUUAUUUAUUUAAUAUUAUUAUUGUUUGAUUUCAAAAUUUGAAAACAUAACAAUUUCAAAGAUUUAAAUUGACGGGUAACGAAAACUUAAGAAUUAUUCGUCAGAGAAAAAAAAUUGUUUUUGUGACGGAUUCUAACCUUAGCAUGAAGGCUCUGAUACCAAUUGUUGAAUUUAUUUGUAAUCAUACUAAGAACAAGAACCACAAUCUAAUAAAUUAGUAGUUCGAAUUCAUACCUACGGAAGCCAUCAUUUAUAUGAAUAAUAGCAGUCAGAUCUUUCCCUCCUUACUCCUCACAAAGUAUUAGUCGUCAAUGGGACAGGCUAAUAAAAUAAUAUGGAGAGGAGAGGAGACCUAGCUUUUAUAUAGGAAUUUAUUUAGUCGUCACAUUAUCGACUUGAACCCUAAUUAGAGUUUACACAUAAUUCUGGCCCACAUACUCAAAAAUACCACAUUAUAUCAAAUAAAGCCCGUAAGGUGUAAAAUGGCCCAAAUUGAUUACUUCACAUAAUUGGCCUAAUCAUAAAUAUCAUUAUAAGUCAUACAUCUAACCCGUAAAAUUAAUAAUCAAAUGUAAAGCCCAUAUUAGAAUAUUCCAAUAUUUUGAACCUCAUUUUAAUCGGAAUCGGGAGCCACAUUUGCAACAUCGUGCUCAUUUUCUGGAGGUCCUUCGAGAGCUGUGGAUACUGUUGCAGAUAUACCUUCAAACUACACUUGAGCUCCUGCUGCUUCAGAUCUUGACCAUUCAGUGGUUGCAUGCCUUCUCCGGCAUCUGGACAUUCUACACCACUGUUUCCAACUGGGACAACUUUUCAACCAACAGACCCAAUAAUAGGUGCAUCUUUUGUUUCGGCACCGGCUCUGCAUUUCAUCCUACAGUAGCUUUCAAUGGGGAUGCAUUGGUGUUUUCAGUUAUUCUAAGUGGCCUAGAAAGGCUUUGGGACCUAAUUGGUUCAGAGAGGAAAUAAUUAAGAAUAAAGCUUCCAAAUCGAGUUCUGUCCCAGAGUUCCCUAAAAGAUGAUGCCCAAUCCAUGGAAGAAGAAAGUGGUGAUAAAUCUUCUAGGAGGGGACAUUUGUAAGGGAGAGGAAUCAUCAACCACCAAGGCGAUAUACAAGCUCAGUUCACCAAGAAAUCGAAUCAAUACCAAAGCAAACGACCCAAGAACACCACAAAGGUUUCGCCUAUGGUUGCUAAGCUUUUUGCCACUUCAAGAACACCACAAAGGAGGGAAAUAUCACCAAGAUAUAUGCCUUAAAAAGAAUCACAGAAGAUGGAAGUGGUGAAGGUCGAGAGAGGUCACGCAGGGAGAAGAAAGAGACACCAAGUCUUAUUUCUUACAUAGUGGCGUGAAGAGUAGAGAGAAUAUAUUGGACCAAGUCUCAAAUUAUCGUAAGUUAGGUUUUAGGUAAUGGGUCAAGGUCCAAUAACAUGUAAGUGGACAACAGUGUGGACCUCAAAAACUAGCUAGCCAUCCAAAUAGGUAAAAACAUGGCUUAUGAGCAACACAACUUAAUUGGUUGCUUCAAAUGGUCAAAUCUCUUCUUGGGUCGGGUCGUUAUAAUUUGGUAUUGAUUUAUUGCUUAGUCAUAUCGCAAUCGUUGACUGAUAAUUAAUAAAUGGUUUACAUCAUCGCCCGAGAGGUCAUUUGACAACAAUAUGUCCAACAACCUCCACUUUGAUGUCAAAAGACCUGCAAAAAAGAAAGUUUCCUAUUAGUAACACCUCUAACGAAAAACCAAUAAAAUUGGAAAUCAUUUACCUGUACCAAUGUUUAGAAGUUCCUUGCAACUUCUAAACUUUGCCAGUUGCAGUACCUUCAUGCCCAUAUCGGAAGGGUUGUAGUGUGUGUGGACCUUUUCAAGUAUUACAUCCUCUUGAGAUACUAUAUCUCUAAUGAAGUGGAGUCUAACAUCAAUGUGUUUAGUGCGCUCGUGUAAAAUGGGGUUCUUGCACAAAUGUAUAGAUGACUAACUAUCAGAAUACACUACCACAUAAUCAUUCAAGACAUAUAGUUCAUGGAGUAGGCCUCUAAGCCAUAGAGCUUCUUUAAUAGCUUCAGUGGUGUCAAUAUAUUAUGAUUCUGUAGUGGAUAGUGCAACAAUGUGUUGUAAUUGUAAUUUCCAACUAACACAUGAAUUAGAUAAGGUAAACACGUAAGACGAAGUCGAUUUCCUACCAUCUCUAUCUUUCGCAUAAUCAGCAUCUAUAAAAGCCUUCAAUUUUACUCCUUCUUUAUUAGCACUAAACUAUAAACCUACGUCACUUGUACCUUUCAAGUACCUUAAUAGCCAUUUUAACGCUUCCCAAUGUUCAGGGUCCGGAUUAACCAUGUACCUACUGAGAGUACUAACCGCAAAAUCGAAAUCCGGUCUAGUGUAAACCAUCAAAUACAUUAUGGAACCAAUCACAUUAGAGUAAGGCACUCUACUCAUAUAUUCUACUUCACGCUCAUUGCAAGGGGAUUGUUCUUUCGAUAAAAUAAAAUGAUUAGCAAGAGGCAACGUGACAAGUUUGCAAUCACUCAUAUUAAAUUUCUUCAAUACUUUAGAUAUGUAUGGAGACUGAUGCAAGAACAAAAUGGAAUUUGACCUAUCUCUUUCUAUUUCCAUGCCUAGGAUUCUCUUAGCCUUACCUAGGUCUUUCAUGUCAAAUUCACCACUUAAUUUUGCUUUUAUAUUAUUUAUCCACUUAGAGGAAGAACCAAUCAAGAGCAUGUCGUCCACAUAGAGCAACAAAAAUAGAUAAUUAUCAUCAGUCUCAUUGUGUUGAAUAUACAAGCAGUGAUCAAAUUUACUUCUUUCAAACCCUAUAGUGAGUACAAAGGAAUCAAACCUCUUGUACCACUGUCUAGGAGAUUGUUUUAACCCAUAUAAGGAUCUUCUCAGAAAACACACAUAAUCAGGCUUUGACUUAUCCUUAAAACCUUUUGGUUGAUUCAUGAAGAUUUGUUCGUCAAGCUCACCAUGUAAACAAGCAAUUUUUACAUCAAGUUGUUCAAGUUCCCAGUCAAAAUGUGUAACCAAGGCAAGCAUAACCCUAAUAGUGGUGUACUUAACAACUACUAUGAUCCAGAAGUGUUUCAGACCAGACGCAUGACCCGAUCGAUGUCCAUGUACUACCACCCGAAAAUUUACCCUCGGGAAUACCCUUGAGUACCUUUCAUUAGUUUUUGUUCGUGUCUUGUUUAUUAUGAUUGCAUUUUAUCUUCAAAUAUUUGUUGCAAUUUACAUUUGCUGGAGGUUAGGUCAAUGCCCCCCUCCUAUAUUUGUUUUCUCGCUUUUCAUUAUAUAAAAUAAACCACACUAGUGGUAUUUGCCAAAAAAAAAAAAAAAAAAAAAACCUGGAUUUAAACCUUAAGGGUUCCGAACAACUAGUACUUUCUUUAACCUUAAAGACCCAUUUGCAAUCAACGAUUGAUUUGUUCUUAGGCCUAGUUACCAUCACCCAACUAUGCUUUUUUUUCUAGAGAACUCAUCUCUUCUUUCAUUGCCUUAAGUCACUCCUUAGAUUGAUCACUACUGAUGAAUGUAAUUCACUCAUUAAACUAAAACUUCUAAAUCACGUUUUUUGAUGCGUUCUUGGGCAUUUUUGAACGUUUUGAUGUGUCUGUUCGUGUUUUUUUGCAGUUUGGACAACUCUCGAGAAAAUACCACUAUUGGAAGCCUGUGAUGAGCAAAAAUGAUGAUCAAUGAAAUGGAGCAUGAAUAAGCAAGUAUUGAAUAAGAUUGGAGUGGAAAAUAGGCUUGGAAAAUAAAGUGAAGAGAAGCAAAGCAGUGGCAUUGGCAUUGACGCCACGACGCCAAAAAAGGGGCGCCAUGGCGCCCCAAAGCGAUGAAUUUCAAUAGAACCACUGGCGCCGUGGUGCCCAAUGAAGACCAACAAAAGCAGAAACUCUGGCGCUAGUUACCAUGAUAAUCGCGGUGACAUGGCGCCAUGCUUGGGCGCCGUGGCACCAAAUCUCGAAACGUUAAAACCUAAAUUUUUAAUUAUCUUUUCGGCCAAAAAAUCAUACCUUAACCCUUGAGGACUCUUAGAAAAUAUAAAUACCAAGAUGAAGAAGGAGAGAGGGGGGUUAGACGGCUGAAGAGGCAAGAGAAAGAGAAGCACCAAUUGAGAGAAGAUUAACCCAAUUUUGGAGAAGAAGAAGGCAAAAAACUGAGAAAUCAAGCAACAAGAUUGAGAAAUAGAGCAGCAACUAGAGUUUUUUUCUAUCUUUCUCUUAUACAUGCACUCUAGUUUGUAUUUCAUUGCAAUUUUAUUCUCCAUCAUGAACUAAACUUUUAAAUCUAGGGUUUGAUGUAACCUAUUUGAGACAUGAUUUAAUUUCCUUAUAGUAUUUUCAUUUAAUUUUCCAGAAUUGA
rnacentral:lncRNA from 1 species